UACGAAGGGGGCUAGCGUUGUUCGGAAUUACUGGGCGUAAAGCGCACGUAGGCGGACAUUUAAGUCAGGGGUGAAAUCUCAGAGCUCAACUCUGGAACUGCCUUUGAUACUGGGUGUCUGGAGUAUGGAAGAGGUGAGUGGAAUUCCGAGUGUAGAGGUGAAAUUCGUAGAUAUUCGGAGGAACACCAGUGGCGAAGGCGGCUCACUGGUCCGUUACUGACGCUGAGGUGCGAAAGCGUGGGGAGCAAACAGG
rnacentral:rRNA from 1 species